rnacentral:rRNA from 1 species
GGAUGCGAUCAUACCAGCACUAAAGCACCGGAUCCCAUCAGAACUCCAAAGUUAAGCGUGCUUGGGCGAGAGUGGUACUAGAAUGGGUGACCUCCUGGUAAUUUCUCGUGUUGCAUUCU